AUUGAACGCUGGCGGCAGGCCUAACACAUGCAAGUCGAACGAGUGGCGGACGGGUGAGUAAUUUCUGGGAAACUGCCCGAUGGAGGGGGCUAACUACUGGAACCGGUAGCUAAUACCGCAUACCAUCCGAUGCGCCCAGACUGGAUUAGCUAGUAGGUGCGGUAACGGCUCACCUAGGCGACGAUCCCUAGCUGGUCUGAGAGGAUGACCGGCCAAACUGGAACUGAGACACGGUCCAGACUCCUACGGGAGGCAGCAGUGGGGAAGAUUGCACAAGGGGCGCAAGCCUGAUGCAGCACUGCCGCGUGUAUGAAGAAGGCCUUCGGGUUGUAAAGUACUUUUAGCGAGGAGGCGUUACUCGCAGAAGAAGCACCGGCUAACUCCGUGCCAGCAGCCGCGGUAAUUC
rnacentral:rRNA from 1 species